rnacentral:snRNA from 1 species
AGAGAAUAGCUUGAACCCAGGAGGCAGAGGUUAUGGUGAGCCGAGAUUGUGCCAUUGCACUCCAGCCUGGGCAACAAGA